AAUUCUCAAAACAAGUCUUUUGUUAAUUCAAUAGGCCUUUGUUUUGGACUUGGAGGUCUGCAGAUUCACAUCUGCUCCUCUUAAAUAAAUUAGCUGGAUCUCCAUGAACUUGGUUCCACUCAGCGUGAUAAGUAUCACUCGCUGAGGACACCCGUAAAAAGGUGGCCAGGCUUGAGGAUGAGCCGCUUCUAACAGUCCAUUUAAUUGGACAAUUACUUAUG
rnacentral:misc_RNA from 1 species